CAGAGUAACCUUUUAAAAUUUACAAGACAGACAAAUCCCACCCUGUGGUACAGACAUGUAGGGGGAGAGAGAAGCCAAAAAGUAAAGCACGUGGCUGGCAUGCUAGCGAUGAGCGGCGGGUGUGGAGGAAUAAAGGCAGGGUAGGAUGCGGCAGUGCUGGAGGCAGCGGGACCUCCCAGAACCAGCAGUGUUUUUGUGUAAAGACCUAAAGGAGGCCAGGGGUUGAAUUUGAGCUGCAGCUACAGCCUACACAACAGCCACAGCAUCACAAGAUCCAAGCCACAUCUGCACUGUAUGCAGCAGCUUGCUCGACGCUGGAUCCUUAACCCACUGAAUGAGGCUAGGGAUCAAAUUCACAUCCUCACAGACACUACAUCGGGUUCUUAACCCAUUGAGCCACAAUGGGAACUCCUUGAUUACGUCUUUAAAGACCCUGUCUCCAAAUAAGUCCUGUUCUGGCUUAAGCCACCAGGUUUUUGUUUGUUUUAUUUUUCUCUUUUCAGCUGCAUCCCCAGCAAGUGGAAGUUCCUGGACCAGGGAUCAAAUCCAUGCCAUAGCAGUGAGCCAAGCCACAACUAUGACAAUACCGGAUCCUUUACCCACUGCACCACCAGGGACCCUAAGGUCCCAUUCUGAGACGCUGGGGGUUAGGACUCCAACAUACCUGUUUUGGAGGGAACACAAUUCCAUUCAUCCCAAGGCUUCAGGGAUGAGCAGGCCUGGGUCUCCCAGGUAGUUCCCAUCUAGCCAUGUCUGACCUUACCUCCUCACUUAGGUAACCACACGUUGGCCAGCGAAUCUCCCCCAGGCCAGUUGGGUGGGUGGUCAGGCCAGGAAGAGGGGGAAUGGGAACUGUAGUGCCCAGCUUUGCCUGCUCCAGCCCAGAGGUAGGGGCAGUUCUGGGGGUGCUUGGGGCUUCCUGGAGGAGCUUCUCCAGGGAGGGGCUUCAGGGAGCAGCAGACAGCCUGUGGGGCAUACUUUCUAUGCCCUGAGGCAGUGGUGCCCGGCCUGUGUGGGCCAGGCUUGGCCCCCAGCUCGUAGAGCAGAUGCCCCGUCCAGCUGCCCCCACCACCGUCCUUGUGUCCAUUUGGUAAAUUUUUUUUUGUCUUUUUUUUUUUUUUUUAGGGCCACACCCACAGCAUAUGAAGGUUCCCAGGCUAGGGGUCGAAUCGUUGGUACACCCUACAGCCUACGCCACAGCCACAGCUGUAGCAACGCGGGAUCAAACCCACAACCUCGUGGUUACUAGUUGGUUUUGUUAGCCACUGAGCCACGACGGGAACUCCCCAUUUGGUAAAUAUUUGUUUGAGAACACGCUUCAUGUCUGGGUGCCAGGAGACAGCUUCGGGAGCUUCCAUUCUUCCUUUCUGCGUACAAAGGACAUGCACGAAUGGACAAGUCAAGUCACAUGGCAGUGACAUGAUGGAUGGGGACAGGGGAUACUUUGUACUUGCUAUGCUUCAAGCCCAGCCCUGAGUGUUUCACGGGUAUGAAUUCUUGUCAUGUAGCUACCCUACGAGGUAGCCCCAUUUUACCAAAAUGUUAUGGGAUAAUGAGGGACAAGUGGGCAUUGACUGCCAGGUGCCAUGACGGAGGGUGGCAAAGGCCCACCCAUAUCUCUGAGGAGGGGACAUGAGCUGAAAUCUAAGGGACACAGGCCAAGACUGCAUGGUGGGAACCUACACAGCUGGAACAGGGGGGAGAGGACAGGAGCCAGGCAGUGUGGCCUCCCAGGCUGUGGACUGGGAGCUGCGGCAGAGAUUUAAGCAAAUGAGCAAUUGUCAAGAUGGUCUUUAAAAAGUCCCCUCUGUGGAAACAGCCCCAGAGUCCAGCCAUAAUAAAUGGAUAAACAAAAUGUGGUCCAUCUGUACAGUGGAAUAUUACUCAGCCAGAAAAAGGAGUCACGUACUGAUACACAUUAUGAUGUGGAUGAACCAUGGAAACCGUUUGCCGAGUGAAAGAAGCCAGACACAAAAGGCCACAGAUUGUUUGAUUCCAUGUGUAUGAAAAUGACCAAGAUGGGCAAAUCUACAGAUUUCGGCAGAGACAGAAAGCAGAUUAGUGGUUGCCAGGGCCUGAGGGAAGGCGGAAAUGGGAGUUCUUUUUUCUUUUUUUUUUUGGCCACGCCCAUGGCAUGUGGAAGUUCCCAGAUCAGGGAUCGAACCCAUACCACAGCUGUAACCAGAGCCAUAGCAGGGACAAUGCCAGAUCCUUAACCCACCAGGGAACUCCAUGGAGUUCUUGAUUAAUGGGUAAUGAGUUUCUGUUUGGGGUGAUUUAUUUAUUUAUUUAUUCUUUUAUUACAGUUGAUUUACAGUGUUCUGUCAGUUUCUGCUGUACAGCAAAGUGACCCAGUCAUACAUAUAGAUACAUUCGUUUCCUCAUAUUAUCUUUCAUUAUGUUCUAUUCCAAGAGAGUGGACAUAGUUUCCUGUACUGUACAGCAGGACCUCAUUGCCUGUCUAUUCUAAAUGUAAUAGUUUGCAUCUACCCACCUGUUUGGGGUGAUUUUUUUUUUUUGUAAGUUUUGGAACCAGAUCGCAGUGGUGAUGGCCCCGCAUUAAGAAUGUAAUUAAUGCCAUCGAAUUGUAUACUUAAAAAUGGUUUAAGUGACAAGCUAUAUGUUUUAUGUAUAUACUGCACCACAGUUUUUUUUUAAGGCCCCUCCAGCUGCCAGCAGGGAGCCUGUGCUGUGGGAGCAAGAGGGGCUGGGAGAGGUUCCCGUCAUGGCGCAGUGGUUAACGAAUCCGGCUAGGAACCAUGAGGGUGCGGGUUCGGUCCCUGCCCUUGCUCAGUGGGUUAACGAUCCAGCGUUGCCGUGAGCUGUGGUGUAGGUUGCAGACGCGGCUCGGAUCCCGCAUUGCUGUGGCUCUGGCGUAGGCCGGUGGCUAAAGCUCCAAUUCGACCCCUAGCCUGGGAACCUCCAUAUGCCGCGGGAGCGGCCCAAAGAAAUAGGAAAAAGACAAAAAAAAAAAAAAAAAA
ensembl:lncRNA